rnacentral:rRNA from 1 species
UACGGAGGGGGCUAGCGUUGUUCGGAAUUACUGGGCGUAAAGCGCACGUAGGCGGAUUUGUAAGUCAGGGGUGAAAUCCCGGGGCUCAACCUCGGAACUGCCUUUGAUACUGCAAAUCUCGAGUCCGGAAGAGGUGAGUGGAAUUCCUAGUGUAGAGGUGAAAUUCGUAGAUAUUAGGAAGAACACCAGUGGCGAAGGCGGCUCACUGGUCCAGUACUGACGCUGAGGUGCGAAAGCGUGGGGAGCAAACAGG